rnacentral:rRNA from 1 species
UACAGAGGGUGCGAGCGUUAAUCGAUAAUCUGGGCGUAAAGCGCGCGUAGGCGGCUUUGCAAGUCGAGUGUGAAAUCCUCAGGCUCAACCUGGGAACUGCAUUCGAGACUGCAUAGCUAGAGUAUGGGAGAGGGAAGUGGAAUUUCAGGUGUAGCGGUGAAAUGCGUAGAUAUCUGAAGGAACAUCAGUGGCGAAAGCGACUUCCUGGACCAAUACUGACGCUCAUGUGCGAAAGCGUGGGGAGCAAACAGG